rnacentral:precursor_RNA from 13 species
GGGAUCCCGGCUGACCUACGGCAUGGUGUGAACAGGUUACUUGUGGUGCAGUGUGGUAGUGGAAAAAGCUGCAUUACGUGUGACCUGCCCACACCAUGCCGUGUCUCUCCGCCUGGAGAUU